GUAACAAUCAUCCACCAGUUAAGAAAUACUACUUAGAGUCGACACAUGAAUAUCUUACAAAGAUCAAGAAUUAUAAAUAUAUGAAACGGGGAUAAAAUUAACCUUCGGACAACAGAAAGAAGACUCCAGGAGACAAGAUACAGGGAAUAUAGACAAAAAACAUCUAAAGCCCCAUAGCAAGAAGAUUGGGAAUAUAAUAUUGAUAAAAAACUGAUAAAAGAAGAAAGAUGAGUUUAAAUGUUCAGAAGACCUCUGCAGUGGCUUUCAGAAUGAGACCAUCUCUUGUAAUUACCAUGACAUGUGACAGAAUGACUACACUCUGAAGUCCAACAUGCUACAGCUUCAUUGUCAAACAAUUGCCUUGGCAUCCCGUUCUCCAGCAAGGACCAACAGUUCUGGAAUAUGGAUAUAAUGGCAAGAUAUAUCAGCUGGCUUGAUACCUUUGAAAAGAAUUAUGAACAUCUGAAUUGAAGGUAGCCUACAGGAAACUGCACUACUGGAAAAUUCAGCUAUAGACUUCCUUAGGAAAGACUGUUCACAUCAGAGCCUUGAAUAGUGAUGCUCAUGUGAGGAUGAAUCUCCUGUGAACCGAAGCAGCAAGGCAUUUGCAACAAGAUCAGCCAGUUAGAAUUUUGGCCAUAGACGAUGCAGGUUUUGCAGCAGCUGGUGAGAUCCUUACUGUAGUGUAUUAAUACUAAUAAAGGAAUAUCAUUA